GACGAACGCUGGCGGCGUGCUUAACACAUGCAAGUCGAGCGGAAAGGCCCUUCGGGGUACUCGAGCGGCGAACGGGUGAGUAACACGUGAGCAACCUGCCCUGGACUUUGGGAUAACCCUCGGAAACGGGGGCUAAUACCGGAUAUGACUGCUGGCCGCAUGGUUGGUGGUGGAAAGUUUUUCGGUCUGGGAUGGGCUCGCGGCCUAUCAGCUUGUUGGUGGGGUAAUGGCCUACCAGGGCGAGGACGGGUAGCCGGCCUGAGAGGGCGACCGGCCACACUGGGACUGAGACACGGCCCAGACUCCUACGGGAGGCAGCAGGUGGGGAAUAUUGGACAAUGGGGGAAACCCUGAUCCAGCGACGCCGCGUGUGUGAAGAAGGCCUGCGGGUUGUAAAGCUAC
rnacentral:rRNA from 1 species